rnacentral:rRNA from 1 species
CAUGGUUUUUUGAUUAUUAUUUAAGAUCUGACCUGCCCCAUGAAAUUUUGAAUGGCCGCGGUAUUUUGACCGUGCAAAGGUAGCAUAAUAAUUAGUUUCUUAAUUAGGAACUGGAAUGAAUGGUUGGACGAGAAAGUUACUGUCUCUUAUUUAUUUUAUUAGAAUUUUAUUUUUGAGUUAAAAAGCUCAAAUUUUUGUGAAAGACGAGAAGACCCUAUAGAGUUUAAUAUUUAUUUGGUUAUUUAUUUAUAGGUAUUUAUUUUUAAUAGCUUUUUAAUUAUUUGAUUGGGGUGAUUAAAAGAUUAAUUUAACUCUUUUUUUAUUUUUACACUUAUAUGUGAUUUAUUGAUCCAAUAUUUUUGAUUAUAAGAUUAAAUUACCUUAGGGAUAACAGCGUAAUCUUUUUGAAGAGUUCUUAUCGAUGAAAAGGUUUGCGACCUCGAUGUUGGAUUAAAGUUUAUUUAUGGUGUAGAAGCUAUGGGAUUGAGUCUGUUCGACUUUUGAAACUUUACAUGAUCUGAGU